UAGAGGACUUCCUGCUGCCAAGAAGAAGAUUGUGAACCUCCUUGGAAUGCUCCUGCUCUACCGAGUUCAACCACGGAGCCUCCAGUCUGUGAGGUGGAGGACCUGGAGAUUGAGAUGCAAGAGUUUGCCUUGGUCCUGGGAGAGCAGGUCCAGGACCACUGGUAAAGAGACAAGUGUGUCCACUGACAUGUCCAGCAGCAGCAUGUACCAGUACUGCCUGAGCCACAAAGACUGGGCAGGAAUAAAAGGGCAUGAGUUUCUGUUAAAAAUAUGUAGGAGCUGCUCAGAUAAUAUGGAGAAUGCGGGCCACAGAAGUAUCUGGAUGAAUGGCUGGACAGACAGGAGAUGGUCUUUCAUUUAUUGCUUUCCUGCACCUUGACAUCCAACCCAGCACUUGUGUUCCAGUGCCUAGACCAAGGAACUAGGGUGAGAAGAUUCAGAGCUGGUAAUAAUUGUCACUGAAGUCAAUACAGCUAUGAAAAUGUACCCCAGCUGGGGCUUGUUGGAAGGAAUGGCUUGGAGCUAUCCAUGCUCUACCACUGACUCACUGCAUGAUUUGAAGUUGAUGGAAAGAGAAGUAGCAGAAACUUAUUCUUUGUUGGCAAGAAUUUGACUUGUCUAUUUUUCAGCCUCCUUCAAUACAAAGGUUGGGAUUUUAUUGAGGUUAGAAAAAGUGUGAGCUUUUUGAAGAAGACCGUGGCCAUGAUGUAUUUUGCUACUAGUAAUCUUCUCUCAGGACCUCUUCAGAUGGAGAACAAGUAUGAGCCUGCUUAUAGAAAUGGCAUUGUUUUAUUUGUGUAAACAAGACAACAUAUUAUUCUUGAUAAUAAACCUAAUAAAAAGAUAAAGGAGGGGAUGACGACACAGGGCAAUGCUUUUCUCUCCUGUAAACCAGGAGAGAGCUUUGCCAGUCGUUGGGUAUCACUGUACAUAAGAAGUCGAUUCCACUAAGUAGUCACAGCAUUAUGAAACAUCAAUCAGUCUUCCAGGGGCCAGCAAAUAUAUAUUACAAAACAAGGCCCACAUCCCACAGCUUGUGCGUGCUGCUGCCCCUAUGCGGAACCUUACUGCAAUCAAGGCACUGCAUUAAGCUUGCUAUAACAAGUUUGAAUGCCUAAGAAGUAAGGCCCUACCAAUUUCAUGGCAGAGAAAAAUACGUCACAAACCCUGAAAUUAGCCCUGCCCCCUGAAAUCUGAUCUCCCAGAAAUCAGCUGGGUUGGAAAAAGACAGGGCUUCUCCAUCCCCUGCUGGGCUGUUCUUGGAGGGAGAUCAGACCCACUUCCACAGGCAGCACAGAGGUGAGGUCACUUCCAUGCUGAAGCAGCCCCAGAGCUGGGCUUCAGACUCCAGCACAGGCUCGGGGGCACUUGGAUCAGGGGUUGCUGCUGCCUCCCCCCACAGCUCCUGCAAGGGCUGAGGGCUCCCUGAGCUCCAGCCAGGGCUUUGGAUUCCAGCUCUGGGAUUGAUGCUACUUCCCCCCCUCCCCUGCAGUUUCUGCCAGGACUCUGGGCAUUCCAGGUCUCUGUUCCUUCUCUCGUAGCUCAGGAACCCUGAGCUCUAAUUUGCUGCCACCGCCUCCUCACUUCUCCCCUGCAGCUCCUGCCAGAGCUCAGUUCCUUGGAGCCUCGUGGUUUCUGCUUAAGCUUAGGACGUCUAGGCCCUGGAUUGCUGCUGCCAUCACCCUCCGUUCCCUUUUCCUCUGCUGCAGUUUCUGCCCAGGCUCUGGGCUGCUGUCCUCUCCUAGUGGCUUUUCCCAGGGCUUGGAGAUGCCCAGGCUUCUACCAAGAUUUAGGGUUUCCACCCCAUGAAGUUCCUUCCUGAGUUCAGGAUGGCUGCCAGUGCCUGGGGCUUUUGCCCCGUCCCCUAGCUCUUGACUGAGCUCCAGGCUUCCACCCUUCCCUCCCCCACUCCAAUGGGGGUGCCUGGGCUUGGGGCUUUGCCUCCAUGGCUCCUGUCAGAGCAGGGCUGACACACCCAUUUUUAAGUUGCCUGGCAUCCCUGGGCCCAUGCGUUAACCUACCACUCACCCUGAGUCUGACUGGCAGUUAUUGAGUUCUGUUUGGGGCCUUUCCAGCAGCACUGGGGAGAUACCACCUACCCUCCACCUGUGGAAGCCUCCUCCAGCUAGAAGAGACACUGCAACUACUGCCUUCAGAGCUGGGCUCUACAAUCACCGCAGAAGCGAGUAGGGCAACACUGUCCCCUCUCCCCCAACAGCUUUGACAUGCCCUACAAUUCCCUUUGGCUCUGAAUCCCUGUCGUUGCAUUUCACAUAUCAAAGUCUGAAAUCGUGAAGUUGACCAACUCUAAGAUCACAUGGCUGUGAAAUUGAUCUAAGUGAACCAUG